UACGAAGGGUGCAAGCGUUACUCGGAAUUACUGGGCGUAAAGCGUGCGUAGGUGGUUUGUUAAGUCUGUUGUGAAAGCCCCGGGCUCAACCUGGGAAUGGCAAUGGAUACUGGCAGGCUAGAGUGCGGUAGAGGGUAGUGGAAUUCCCGGUGUAGUGGUGAAAUGCGUAGAGAUCGGGAGGAACACCAGUGGCGAAGGCGGCUACCUGGACCAGCACUGACACUGAGGCACGAAAGCGUGGGGAGCAAACAGG
rnacentral:rRNA from 1 species